AGUGAACGCUGGCGGUAGGCCUAACACAUGCAAGUCGAACGGCAGCACAGGAGAGCUUGCUCUCUGGGUGGCGAGUGGCGGACGGGUGAGGAAUACAUCGGAAUCUACUCUGUCGUGAGGGAUAACGUAGGGAAACUUACGCUAAUACCGCAUACGACCUACGGGUGAAAGCAGGGGACCUUCGGGCCCUCCGCGAUUGACUGAGCCGAUGUCGGAUUAGCUAGUUGGCGGGGUAAAGGCCCACCAAGGCGACGAUCCGUAGCUGGUCUGAGAGGAUGAUCAGCCACACUGGAACUGAGACACGGUCCAGACUCCUACGGGAGGCAGCAGUGGGGAAUAUUGGACAAUGGGCGCAAGCCUGAUCCAGCCAUACCGCGUGGGUGAAGAAGGCCUUCGGGUUGUAAAGCCCUUUUGUUGGGAAAGAAAUCCAGCUGGCUAAUACCCGGUUGGGAUGACGGUACCCAAAGAAUAAGCACCGGCUAACUUCGUGCCAGCCGCCGCGGUAA
rnacentral:rRNA from 1 species